AAUAUUGCGCAAUGGGGGAAACCCUGACGCAGCGACGCCGCGUGAGCGAAGAAGGCCUUAGGGUUGUAAAGCUCUGUUUUAAGGGACGAAUGUCGUGGGAGUAAUAUGCUCUGCGAGUGACGGUACCUUAAGGGGAAGCCCCGGCUAACUCCGUGCCAGCAGCCGCGGUAAGACGUAGGGGGCGAGCGUUGUCCGGAAUUACUGGGCGUAAAGAGCACGUAGGCGGGAACUUAAGUCAGGUGUGAAAGACCGGGGCUCAACUCCGGGGUUGCACUUGAAACUGGGUUUCUUGAGGGCAGGAGAGGAAAGCAGAAUUCCUGGUGUAGCGGUGAAAUGCGUAGAAAUCAGGAGGAAUACCAGUGGCGAAGGCGGCUUUCUGGACUGACCCUGACGCUGAGGUGCGAAAGCGUGGGUAGCAAACAG
rnacentral:rRNA from 1 species